rnacentral:rRNA from 1 species
GAGUUUGAUCAUGGCUCAGAUUGAACGCUGGCGGCAUGCCUUACACAUGCAAGUCGAGCGGCAGCGCGGGGGCAACCCUGGCGGCGAGCGGCGAACGGGUGAGUAAUGCAUCGGAACGCGUCCUCUUGUGGGGGAGUAACCAGUCGAAAGACUGGCUAAUACCGCAUGAGAUCGAGAGAUGAAAGCAGGGGACCGCAAGGCCUUGCGCGAGAGGAGCGGCCGAUGCCGGAUUAGCUAGUUGGUGGGGUAAAGGCCUACCAAGGCGACGAUCCGUAGCUGGUCUGAGAGGACGACCAGCCACACUGGGACUGAGACACGGCCCAGACUCCUACGGGAGGCAGCAGUGGGGAAUUUUGGACAAUGGGGGAAACCCUGAUCCAGCCAUGCCGCGUGUGUGAAGAAGGCCUCGGUUGUAAG